rnacentral:rRNA from 1 species
UCGAGCGGACAGAUGGGAGCUUGCUCCCUGAUGUUAGCGGCGGACGGGUGAGUAACACGUGGGUAACCUGCCUGUAAGACUGGGAUAACUCCGGGAAACCGGGGCUAAUACCGGAUGGUUGUUUGAACCGCAUGGUUCAAACAUAAAAGGUGGCUUCGGCUACCACUUACAGAUGGACCCGCGGCGCAUUAGCUAGUUGGUGAGGUAAUGGCUCACCAAGGCAACGAUGCGUAGCCGACCUGAGAGGGUGAUCGGCCACACUGGGACUGAGACACGGCCCAGACUCCUACGGGAGGCAGCAGUAGGGAAUCUUCCGCAAUGGACGAAAGUCUGACGGAGCAACGCCGCGUGAGUGAUGAAGGUUUUCGGAUCGUAAAGCUCUGUUGUUAGGGAAGAACAAGUACCGUUCGAAUAGGGCGGUACCUUGACGGUACCUAACCAGAAAGCCACGGCUAACUACGUGCCAGCAGCCGCGGUAAUACGUAGGUGGCAAGCGUUGUCCGGAAUUAUUGGGCGUAAAGGGCUCGCAGGCGGUUUCUUAAGUCUGAUGUGAAAGCCCCCGGCUCAACCGGGGAGGGUCAUUGGAAACUGGGGAACUUGAGUGCAAAAGAGGAGAGUGGAAUUCCACGUGUAGCGGUGAAAUGCGUAGAGAUGUGGAGGAACACCAGUGGCGAAGGCGACUCUCUGGUCUGUAACUGACGCUGAGGAGCGAAAGCGUGGGGAGCGAACAGGAUUACAUACGCUGGUAGUCCACGCCCUAAACAAUGAGUGCUAAGUG